ACAAUUUUUAAAAGAACAACUUGAAAUUGUUUUCCAGAAUUAUUGGACCAGUUCACAGCUCCAUCAAUAGUGUAUUAGUGUGCCUUCUUUCCUUCACACCCUCCAACGUUUACUUGAAGUUCUGGGAAAGAACUCACCACUUGGAAGUGGGGGAGGAAUCAUCUUCCAGGACUAGAAGGCAGAAGAGGAUAGAAUGUAUUCCAAGAUGAGAAGACUGCUGGUAUGGAGACAUCUUCAUGGAUGAGCAGGCUGCUAGUAUGGAGGAAUCUUUCAGAGUAAGAAGGCUAUUGGAAUGGAGACAUCUUCCAGCAUGAGAGGGCUGCUAGCAUGGAGUCAUCUUCCAGGGUGAGAAGGCUGCUGGAGUUAAGGGAUAAUGUAACAAGUUGGGCAGACAGCACCGGGGAGUUUCCGGAAAGAAGACAGACAGUGAGCUCAAGUGAUGGAGAAUGAGGAGUAAAAAAGAAAGAGAGAAAGGACUUGGAUGUUGUA
rnacentral:lncRNA from 1 species